GACGAACGCUGGCAGCAUGCUUAACACAUGCAAGUCUAACGCUAAACCGGUUUCGCACAGGCUUUCCUAGGCGGCGGGGUGGUAAAAGGGUGGGGAUCUUCCCUGCCCUCUAGGGUAAACAGACGGAAAUGACUGUAAUGCCGGGGACAACACACCCGGACAUCUUUCGGGCUGGAAGAUUCGGGAGGCGCAGGAUGAGCCCGCGGCCUAUCAGCCCGGUGGUGGGGUAAGGGCCUACCAAGGCGACGACGGGUAGCCGGCCUGAGAGGGUGACCGGCCACACUGGGACUGAGACACGGCCCAGACUCCUACGGGAGGCAGCAGUGGGGAAUAUUGCACAAUGGGCGAAAGCCUGAUGCAGCGACGCCGCGUGAGGGAUGACGGCCUUCGGGUUGUAAACCUCUUUCAGCAGGGAAGAAGCGAAAGUGACGGUACCUGCAGAAGAAGCACCGGCUAACUACGUG
rnacentral:rRNA from 1 species